rnacentral:rRNA from 1 species
GCCCCUACGGGAGGCAGCAGUCGGGAAUAUUGCGCAAUGGAGGCAACUCUGACGCAGUGACGCCGCGUAUAGGAAGAAGGUUUUCGGAUUGUAAACUAUUGUCCUCAGGGAAGAACAGUCACUGUGCUAAUCAGCAGUGAAUUGACGGUACCUGCAAAGGAAGCACCGGCUAACUCCGUGCCAGCAGCCGCGGUAAUACGGAGGGUGCGAGCGUUAAUCGGAAUUACUGGGCGUAAAGCGCUCGUAGGCGGUAUGUCAAGUCAAGGGUGAAAUCCCCGCGCUCAACGUGGGAACUGCCUUUGAAA